UACGUAAGGUCCGAGCGUUGUCCGGAAUCAUUGGGCGUAAAGGGUACGUAGGGGGAUUAGCAAGUUAGAAGUGAAAUCCUAUAGCUCAACUCUAGUAAGCUUUUAAAACUGCUCAGCUUGAGGUAUGGAAGGGAAAGUGGAAUUCCUAGUGUAGCGGUGAAAUGCGCAGAUAUUGGGAGGAAUACCGGUGGCGAAGGCGAUUUUCUGGACAUAAACUGACGCUGAGGUACGAAAGCGUGGGUAGCGAACAGG
rnacentral:rRNA from 1 species